GGAUGUAGCCAAGUGGAUAAAGGCAGU
rnacentral:tRNA from 1 species